rnacentral:lncRNA from 1 species
UUAUUGUUUGCAUAGUGAAGUUUAAAGUUAUUGUUAAUGUAUGGGAUAGAAUAGGAGAGCUAUUAGAGACGGCUUUAUACCCUACAUUUCUACUAUAGGGAAACAAGCCGAAAAAACGUGUUAUAAGUUGCAGAGGAUAAACAUAGACUACUGAUACACAAAAUCAAUUUACACCCCCGGAUCACUCUAUGAAUUUAGGAUAGACUUAUAUCUAAACACAGGUUUAGCGCAUAUUCAACCUAUACACAAGCUCCAUUGAUCAGGAAACGAGUUUUAUCACCUUGUAUGGCAGUAAGAUUCAAUUGUCCCUUAUUGAGAGUCGGUCGACAAAAGUCAUUGCGAUCAUUAGUUGCAUUGUAGAAAGAAUUAUGAUACUUGCAAUAAGCUUUUCUCUUGAACUUAUCAGUCAAAACCAACUUAUAUGUUUCUCAGACCAUUCGCUUAAGAGACUUUUAUUUAGCUAAGGACAUGUUCUUCAUCUGGCUUGCUCCAAACAAGUCCUAACGGAUAGGGGGGAUCCUUGAAUCCCACCCAAACACAAACAACUCCAACAUAGGGGUUCUCAAGGAUUUAAAAAUCCAACGAAGCACGGAUCAUGAGCCCUAUACCGGCCACCAAUGGCGGAAGCGUGUCAUCCAAUCGAAACCGAGCACAUUCUGUGCAAGUAUUGGUUCAGACGAAGAGGCCGCCAUUAUCAGAUGCAAUGCGUCUCCGCCAGCUACGAAGAAGGUGUCGCCAAGCAAACAACACGUCGGGAGGGAGGGCAAGACGCACUGUACUUCGUCCGCUUUUAGCUGCCGCCAAAACCCAAUUCCAGUGAAGAAGAAAUCUAGUAAAAAAGAAGAACAGACAGGGGUGGGGGAAGAAGAAAACGAAGAAGAUCAUUCCAGAACUGACACCGCUGAUUUUUCUUCUCUAUUGGCGGAGAAAGAGCUACUCGAACCGACGAGUCAGCGAUCAGGGGGGGAUGGAGUGGAAAAGGCGAUGGCGGGGCGGGCGUGUCCCCGCGGCGUCGCGGCCGUGGGAGGCACGGCGGCGGCAGCGUAACGUGCUCGAGCGCCCAGGGCCCCACGGUACACACCCUGUCCUGUCGUUGUCGU